UUAGGUGAGCUUAUGUUUAGUUAGGUUAGAUUUGGGUCAGGUUAGGUUAAGAUAGGUUAGGUUAGGUUAGGUUAGGGUUUAGUUAGGUUAGAUUUGGGUCAGGUUAGGUUAAGAUAGGUUAGGUUAGGUUAGGUUAGGUUAGGUGAGCUUAUGUUUAGUUAGGUUAGAUUUGGGUCAGGUUAGGUUAAGAUAGGUUAGGUUAGGUUAGGUUAGGGUUUAGUUAGGUUAGAUUUGGGUCAGGUUAGGUUAAGAUAGGUUAGGUUAGGUUAGGUUAGGGUUUAGUUAGGUUAGAUUUGGGUCAGGUUAGGUUAAGAUAGGUUAGGUUAGGUUAGGUUAGGUUAGGUUAGGGUUUAGUUAGGUUAGAUUUGGGUCAGGUUAGGUUAGGUUAGGUUAGGUUAGGUUAGGUUAGGUUAGGUGAGCUUAUGUUUAGUUAGGUUAGAUUUGGGUCAGGUUAGGUUAGGUUAGGUUAGGUUAGGUUAGGUGAGCUUAUGUUUAGUUAGGUUAGAUUUGGGUCAGGUUAGGUUAAGAUAGGUUAGGUUAGGUUAGGUUAGGUUAGGUUAGGUGAGCUUAUGUUUAGUUAGGUUAGAUUUGGGUCAGGUUAGGUUAAGAUAGGUUAGGUUAGGUUAGGUUAGGUUAGGUGAGCUUAUGUUUAGUUAGGUUAGAUUUGGGUCAGGUUAGGUUAAGAUAGGUUAGGUUAGGUUAGGUUAGGUUAGGUGAGCUUAUGUUUAGUUAGGUUAGAUUUGGGUCAGGUUAGGUUAAGAUAGGUUAGGUUAGGUUAGGUUAGGUUAGGUGAGCUUAUGUUAGUUAGGUUAGAUUUGGGUCAGGUUAGGUUAAGAUAGGUUAGGUUUAGAUUAGGUUAGGUGAGGCGAGAUUAUUAUUAUUAUUUUUUACAACAAAGGAGGCAGCUCAAGGGCACAAAAAAAGGAAACAAUAAAAAAAAAGCCCGCUACUCGCUGCUCCUAAAAAAAGAAUCCAAAGAGGUGGCCGAAAGAGAGGUCAAUUUCGGGAGGAGAGGUGUCCUGAUACCCUCCUCUUGAAAGAGUUCAAGUCGUAGGCAGGAGGAAAUACAGACGAAGGAAGGCUGUUCCAGAGUUUACCAGUGAAGGGGAUGAAAGAAUGGAGAUGCUGGUUAACUCUUGCAUAAGGGGUUUGGACAGUAUAGGGAUGAGCAUGAGUAGAAAGUCGUGUGCAGCGGGGCCGCGGGAGGGGGGGAGGCAUGCAGUUAGCAAGUUCAGAAGAGCAGUUAGCGUGGAAAUAGCGAUAGAAGAUAGAAAGAGAGGCAACAUGGCGGCUGAAUUUAAGAGGUAGAAGACUAUCAGUAGGAGGAGGAGAGCUGAUGAGACGAUGAGCCUUAGACUCCACUCUGUCCAGAAGAGCUGUGUGAGUGGAGCCCCCCCACACGUGAGAUGCAUACUCCAUACGAGGGCGGACAAGGCCCCUGUAUAUGGUUAGCAACUGCGCGGGGGAGAAGAACUGGCGGAGACAAUACAGAGCUUAGCUGUGUAUCUUCCUCCUUUUCCUCCUUUCCUUCUUCUUCCCUCUUGUCUUCCUCCUCUUCCUCCUUUUUCAUUCUUACUCUUCUUAUUCCUCUCUACUUUUUCUUUCUCCAUUCCAAUCUUUUCCUCCUCCUCUUCCAUAUCUUUCUUUUCCUCUUCUUCCUUUAUUUCUAUCUCUUUCCUUCCUCCUCCUCCUCCUCCUCCUCUUUUUUGCUACAUCUUCCUCUCUCUACCUCUCUCUCUUAACUUUUUUCUCUUCUCCCUUCUUCCAUCUCCUUUUCCUCCUCCUCCUCCUCCUUCUCCUCC